CUAAGAAUAUUCCGCAAUGGACGAAAGUCUGACGGAGCGACGCCGCGUGGAUGAAGAAGGCCGCAAGGUUGUAAAAUCCUUUUGCUGGGGAAGAAUAAGCGCAGGAGGGAAUGCCUGCGUGAUGACAUGAACCGGCGAAUAAGCCCCGGCCAACUACGUGCCAGCAGCCGCGGUAACACGUAGGGGGCAAGCGAUGUUCGGAAUUACUGGGCGUAAAGGGCGUGUAGGCGGGUUGGUAAGCUUGGCGUGAAAGACCGCGGCUUAACUGGG
rnacentral:rRNA from 1 species